rnacentral:lncRNA from 1 species
CCACCCUUCUCAGGUUGGUGGGGCGGAUGCAGCUGCGGCCCUGGCAGCGGGUGAGCGACCGGCAGGAGCCCGCUCCCGCUGUUACCGUAAGUCUCAGAGGAGCGGGGCAUAACGAGAAGGGUAGCUAAGAGCAGGAAGGCCCGGAGGGCGCCGCGACGUGGAAGGACUGUGCGUUCCCGGCUGGCCGGGAGUGAGUACGGGUGCGCAGGCGCCUGCCGCAGUGUUUCGGAGGGUGAGGGUACCGGCUAUCAAGGGCUCAUUGUCGUGGAGGGAGAGCAGAAGGAAUGUCGGCCCAGAGGACAGAGUGUCACCGGCCCAGGACUGGAGUGCUCGCACCGGCUGGGCCCGGACCUGGAAUCUGUCCUUCCGCUCCUCCACUGGGAGUGCCAGAUGUGCCUUCAUGGGUCAUCAGAUUAAUCCUGAUAUCUCUCAAUUAGUUCGGGCUGCUCUAAAGGCCUUCUCUGUCCAGCAUUUUGUUUGCUCCUCCCCAGGUCUCUAAUGAAGUAGAAGAGGCCAGAGUUGUUCUGUCCAGUUUCCAGCCCUGUUGCCUGGAGCUCGUAUACGGACCUCCUGGACCUAUAGAUGGCAGAGCAACAAGGUGGAAGAAGCCUGGGUCUCUGAUAUCAUGGAGCACCACACCAUAAGGACCAAAGGCCUACAAGAGAAUGAGAAAUGAAGGAGUGUUUGCCAAAUGAAAAAGAGAGAGACAGAGACAGAAACCUAUAAGAAAAUGUAAAUUUCCAAAGUUUUUCUGGGUAGUGAUAAAGGGGUGUGUGUGUGUGCGUGAGAGAGAGAGAUUUUCCACUGAGAAUUAUACAACAUCUUCAUAGAACAUCAGAUUACACUAAACCUUUUUCCAGGCAGGCAGCUGAACCAAAGAAAAAGUUGCUAGAGCACAAACAGCAACAUAGUUAUUUUUAGGCGUACAAUAUGCCACUUUUAAAAAAAACCAUUUUACCAGCCCAGUGAUAUCACCUAAGUGAGACAUUGGAGCAAGAUUAUCAAGAGGGCAAAUGAGAAGUUUCUCUGGAGAUAGAAUGAAAAGGAAGAAGCCUUUCUCAGACCGAUUGAGAAAAACAGUCAACUCUCCUAUUCCUAUUUCUGUUCUCAAUUUGCUGUGAGACUUUAAGUGAGCUAUUAAACAUCUUGGACCUUAGUAAAAUGGGGUGGUAAUUUCAUAUACAGUGGGUAUUGGUAAGCUUUCUUGAUUUCAGAUCCAAAUUGAGCCUCUCUCACAAAAAAGUGUGGCUUUUGUAAGCUGUUCACCUACUGCUGGGGAGCUAAG